rnacentral:rRNA from 1 species
UCGAUGAAGAACGCAGCGAAAUGCGAUAAGUAAUGUGAAUUGCAGAAUUCAGUGAAUCAUCGAAUCUUUGAACGCACCUUGCGCUCCUUGGUAUUCCGAGGAGCAUGCCUGUUUGAGUGUUAUGAAAUUCUCAACUGCCCCGGGCUUUGUGGCCUGCAGGUGAAGUUGGACUUGGAGGUAUGCUGGCGCAUGAAUGGGCUUUGUGGCCCUGCUUUGCUUGUUGGCUCCUCUCGAAUGCAUGAGCUUUCCAAUCCUUGGCAAAGUAUCGUCGAUGUGAUAAUUGUCUACGUCGCCCGAGAAAGCCGAAAGGGGAAAUCUUUGAUCACGCCAGGGUGACCUGCGUCUGACAAAUUCGACCUCAAAUCAGGUAGGACUACCCGCUGAACUUAA